rnacentral:sRNA from 2 species
UGCAAAGGAACGCAGACUAGGAACGCCACGUCCUGCGGCAGCGUCUGCAUGAUCCCCAUCCUGGGGA